AGGGUUUGAUCAUGGCUCAGGACGAACGCUGGCGGUGCGCCUUAUGCAUGCAAGUCGAGCGAAGCUUUUUGGUAGUUUACUACUAGAAAUGACUGAGCGGCGAACGGGUGAGUAACGCGUGAGCAAUCUACCUUAGUUACUGGGAUAGCCCGAGGAAACUCGGAUUAAUACCAGAUAUUCUUAUUUUUUCACAUGAAGUUUUAAGGAAAGGUCAGCCGAACUAAGAUGAGCUCGCGUUCUAUCAGCUAGUUGGUGGGGUAAAAGCCUACCAAGGCUACGACGGAUAGCUGGUCUGAGAGGACGAUCAGCCACACUGGGACUGAGACACGGCCCAGACUCCUACGGGAGGCUGCAGCAGGGAAUAUUGUGCAAUGAGCGAAAGCUUGACACAGCGACACCGCGUGUGGGAUGACGGUUCUAGGAUUGUAAACCACUUUCAGGAGGGAAGAAAAUGACGGUACCUCCACAAGAAGACCCGGCCAACUAUGUGCCAGCCGCCGCGGUAAUAC
rnacentral:rRNA from 1 species